rnacentral:misc_RNA from 1 species
GAUGAAGAACGCAGCGAAAUGCGAUACGUAAUGUGAAUUGCAGAUUUCAGUGAAUCAUCGAAUCUUUGAACGCACAUUGCGCCCGCCAGUAUUCUGGCGGGCAUGCCUGUUCGAGCGUCAUUUCAACCAUCAAGCGCCUCGCUUGUGUUGGGGCCCUGCGGCUGCCGCAGGCCCCUAAAUCCAGUGGCGGGCUCGUCGUCGUACCGAGUGCAGUAAACAUCCUCGCUCAGGGAACCCGACGGGUGCCGGCCGUGAAACCCCCCUCCUCAAGGUUGACCUCGGAUCAGGUAGGAAUACCCGCUGAACUUAAGCAUAUCAAUAAGCGGAGGA